AUCUCGUAAUCGCUCCGCUUUCCCGCGUCCGUCCACCGCGCCGAUGCCUUCUGCUCCUCCUCCUCCUCCUCACACUCCACUCGCCGCCCCGACCGCCGCCGUCUCCGUCACCUGCUCCUACCGGGAGGACGAUGACGGCGCCGCCUCGUGGUCGCUCUCCUCCGGCGCGCCCUCCUCCUCCUCGCCGUCGUCGUCGCGGGGGCGCCGCCCGCCGCCUUACCGGCGGCUCCUCCACGACGAGGCGCGGCGCCUCCGCCAGGAGCGCCGCGGCCAGGGCGCCGGCGCCGGAACGCCCCGGUGGGUGCGCCGCACCGAGGGCCAGAUGGCCCGGUACGUCGAGGACGACCGCGCCGGCCACGUCCACGGCCGCCACGUCGUCGCCGCGGCACGCGCCGCACGCGCCACCGCGUCCCGCCCGCCCGCCGGCGGGUCCGCCAUGCGAGAGGCCAUGGCCUCCUUCGUCGCCAAGCUCACCUUCCGCGAGAUGUGCGUCGUCCUCCGCGAGCAGCGCGGGUGGCGCCAGGCCCACGAUUUCUUCUCGUGGAUGAAGCUCCAGCUGUGCUACGAGCCCAGCGUGGUCGCCUACACCAUCCUCCUCAGGGCGUAUGGCAACGCCGGCAAGAUCGAGCUCGCCGAGGAGGCGUUCCUGGAGAUGCUCGAGGCCGGCGUGGAGCCGGACGCGGUGGCGUGCGGCACCCUGCUGUGCGCGUACGCGCGCCGGGGGAGGCACGGCGACAUGAUGCUCUUCUACGCCGCGACGCGCAGGCGCGGUGUGGCGCCGCCCGUCUCCGCCUUCAACUUCAUGCUCUCCUCCCUGCAGAAGCACAGGCUCCACGGCAAGGUGAUCCAACUCUGGAAACACAUGAUGGAAAUGGAAGAAGCCAACAAUGUGGUGCCAAAUCACUUCACAUACACAGUUGUGAUCGGUUCAUUUGUCAAGGAGGGUCUCCUGGAGGAGGCCAUGGAUGUCAUGGGGAAGAUGAGGGCCUCCCGACUCAUCCCGGAGGAGGCGACGUACAGUUGCCUGAUCAGCUUGAGUUCCAGGCAUGGCAGAGGGGAGCAGGUUGUGAUGCUCUAUGAGGAGAUGAGGGCUCAUGGCAUUGUCCCCAGCAACUACACAUGUGCAUCCCUCCUGGCACUCUAUGACAAGAGUGAGGACUACUCGAAGGCGCUCUCGCUCUUCUCGGAGAUGGAGCGAAGCAGGGUUGUCAUUGAUGAGGUCAUCUAUGGGAUCCUCAUUAGGAUCUAUGGUAAGAUCGGGCUCUACGACGAUGCGCAGCGCACUUUUGAGGAAAUUGACAGUGCGGGUCUUCUGAGUGAUGAACAGACUUAUGUGGCAAUGGCUCAAGUUCACAUGAAUGCUCGCAACUAUGAUAAGGCAUUGCAGGUUUUCGGUUUGAUGAGAUCGAGGAAUGUGAAGCCUUCAUCGUUCUCUUACGGCGCUCUUCUUCGAUGCCAUGUCGCGAGGGAAGACAUAGCUGCAGCUGAAGAUGUCUUCAGAGCUCUGUGCAAAUAUGGUCUCCCUGAUGUGUUCUGCUGCAAUGACCUACUGAGAUUAUAUGUCAAGCUGGGCCAGCUAGAGAAGGCAAGUGCAUUCAUUCUGAAGAUGAGAAAAGAAGAUAUCCAGCUUGAUGAGGCCCUCUGCAUGACUGUAAUGGAAGUUUGCUGCAAAAGCGGGAUGAUCGCCGAUGCGGAUAAGAUACUGAAAGAGAUGAACAAUGGUGGAGUGACCAUGAAGAGUUCAACAAUGGUUUCUAUGAUAGAGAUGUAUGCUAGAAACAGAACCAGUGUGAUGCAGGAACAAGAUAGUUCGUCGAAGGCACUAGCCUGUCAGACCGACAGUUCGGCACUGAACGCGGCGUUGAAGUCAUUGUUGGACACACCUGGGGGUUCGUCCAUCGCAUGCCAAUUGAUCAGAAAAUUGGCUAGGGAAGGGAGGACAUGUGAGGCAAAAUUCCUUCAUGAACAGCUGACUCAGUUGGGAGUCAAGCCUGAAGAUUCAGCAACAGCCACUCUCAUUGUCCAAUAUGGCCAGGAACAGAAGUUACAUCAAGCAGAGGAACUGUUUGAGUCAGAAUCGACAUCGUUUCCAAUAGGAGCGCCUGUCUACAAUGCCAUGGUCGAUGCAUUAUGCAAGUGCGGCAAUAUCGAGGAGGCGUAUCGUCUCUUUAUGAAAAUGGCUGAUCAAGGCCAUAGCAGAGAUGUUGUGACAAUUAGCAUACUUGUCACUCACCUGACCAAACAUGGAAAGUUUCAGGAGGUGGAGAACAUCAUACAUGGCUGCUUCCAUGGUGAAGUUGAGCUUGAUACUGUUGUGUAUAAUACAUUUAUCAAGUCGAUGCUCGAGUCAGGCAAACUAUACUCAGCUGUCAACAUAUAUGAUCGCAUGAUAUCCACUGGGGUUCGUCGGUCCUUGCAGACUUUCAAUAUAAUGAUAAGUGUUUAUGGCCUAGGAGGAAAGCUGGACAAGGCUGCUGAAAUGUUUGCUGCUGCACAAGAGCUAGGCUUGCUGAUCGACGAGAAGAUAUACACUAACAUGCUUAACUUCUAUGGAAAGGCUGGGAGACAUCAGGAGGCGUCUUCACUAUUCGAUAGAAUGAAGGAACUUGGUAUCAUGCCUGGAAAGAUCAGUUUCAACUCCAUGAUCAAUGCCUAUGCCACUUCCAGGCUGCAUGAUGAAGCAGAGAUUGUUUUCCAGGAGAUGCAAUCACACGGUCAAGUUCCCGACUCGACGACGUACCUUGCAUUGAUCAGAUCAUACUCAGAAAGUAGAUGCUACUCCAAAGCUGAGAAAGCCAUCCAGAUGAUGUUGAGCAGCGGCAUAACCCCUUCAUGCCCUCAUUUUAGCCACCUCAUUAUUGCCUUUCUGAAGGCAGACCAGAUUGAUGAAGCCCAGAGGAUCUGCGGCCAGAUGCAGGAGAUUGGUGUGGCUGUUGAUUUAGCAUGUUGCCGGGCAAUGAUGAGGGCGUACCUUGAGCACGGUCGCGUCGACGAGGGCAUAUCGCUCUUCGAGACAACACGCGGGUCACUGAAACCUGACAGCUUCAUCCUGAGUGCUGCAUUUCAUCUCUAUGAGCAUUCAGGCAGCGAGCCUGAAGCUGGGGAUGUGCUGGAAGCCAUCGGUCUACAUGGUGCCUCUUUUUUGAGAAGUUUAAAGGUUGGAUCAAAGUUGGAACCAACUUAAUAACGACCAUAUCAUGUGCCCAUCAAGCCAGCAACCAUCACAGCAUUUAACAUGUUACAAAGAAUGAAGACUUAACAGUUCGCCGUCUGAAGCUUGAAGGUGUAUUUUCAACAGCAAAGGAGGUCUGUUACUCUGCUUCCACUUAAAAAUCCCAUAUACAGGGUGAAUGGUUAGUCUAGUAAUGAGAUUGUAAAAUUGAAAAAUAAUAAACAGUUGACCAGGGUUCUUCCAAGUUCAAUCUGCAAGUAUGGAGAUAUAACUUUUUUGGUAUUACCCAUUAAAGAAUUGCCUGCUAUUGUGCCAUUUACCUCUGCAAGUGGCCGAUUUGUCUCAACUUUCCUAGUCAGAUACAUACAGUUAGGAAGAUUCUCUGAAACUUUCCGGUAAAAAAAGAUAUUCUCAGAAGUUCAAACUUCCAAAAGAAGGUGACAUCUAUUCUACUUUUAUUUUGUGUUAUAAGCACGCAAAACAAUAUGUUCCGUGUGAUUAUUAAUGUUACUCAGAGAUGGGACGAAAAUAUAGCUGUCAUAUUUCAAUGUGGGGCUUAAAAGAUGUACUUAUUUCAUAAAAAUCGCAGCAAUUGCACCUUUCUAUCUAUUUGAAUUGUCUGAGAUAGUUUACCAGUCAACGUGCCAGGAAAUUAAAGUGCUGGACUGGGUUGGGCCGUUGUUGUCAAUCUCUCAAUUUCUGAAUGUUAGUGAUUUAUAAGAAUUCUCAUACAUUGAACAUCUCUGCAG
rnacentral:rRNA from 1 species